UUUAAGCCCCACAGCUGGUGUGGACGCAGGAUUGGUGUGGGUAGGCGGGCACAGGGCUCCAGAGGCUCACCCUGGCCUCCUUCUCCUGGCCCAGGGCAGCAGCACGGAGCCUCCGGACAACCUACUGACCACCCACGUGCUGGACACCGCCUCAGGGCUCCCAGCCAGAGGCCUCUGCCUCCGCUUGUGCUGGCUGGAGGACCACGGCCAGCAGUGGGCGGAGCUGAGGACAAGCUACACAGACCCAGAUGGUCACUGUCCUGGACCAGAUGAAGGCAGGCACCUACAAGCUCACCUUCGACACUGAGGGCUACUGGAGGAAGAGGGGGCAGGAAAGCUUCUACCCACAUGUGGAGGUUGUUUUAACCAUCACCAGCAAGGCCCAGAAGUUCCACGUGCCCCUGGUCCUACAUCACCUACCGAGGGAGUUAGAGCGAAGACUGGCAGCGGGAGGCUGCCUGCCCGUUCCCGCACGCUGGCUGCACCCACCCAGCCCUCAACAGAGCGGGCUUUGUGCUCAUCAGGGAGCAUUGGCUCACCACUU
ensembl:lncRNA URAHP urate (hydroxyiso-) hydrolase, pseudogene